GCGAAGUGCGGGCCAGUAGAGGAGGUAAGACGAACCGGACAAAAGUUAUUCGGAAUCACGGGGGUUACAGAGUUCGUAGGAGGGCUGGGAAGUUGGGUGUGAAAUCCCUCGGCUCAACCGAGGAACUGAGCGUGAAACUACCAGACUCGAGGGAGAUAGAGGAAAGCGGAACUGAUGGUGGAGCGGUGAAAUGCGUUGAUAUCAUCAGGAACACCGGUGGCGAAGGCGGCUUUCUGGGUCUUACCUGACGCUGAGGAACGAAAGCCAGGGGAGCGAACGGGAUUAGAUACCCUGGUAGUC
rnacentral:rRNA from 1 species